rnacentral:piRNA from 1 species
UCUUCCAGUUUAAGCUAGAAGCAAGGAGCCA